rnacentral:rRNA from 1 species
AGGAUGAACGCUAGCUACAGGCUUAACACAUGCAAGUCGAGGGGCAGCAUGGGAUUAGCUUGCUAAUCCUGAUGGCGACUGGCGCACGGGUGAGUAACGCGUAUCCAACCUUCCCCCUGCUCAGGGAUAGCCCGGUGAAAACCGGAUUAAUACCUGAUGGUUUCAUUUGACGGCAUCAGAUGAUGAAUAAAGAAAUUCGGCAAGGGAUGGGGAUGCGUCUGAUUAGCUUGUUGGCGGGUAACGGCCCACCAAGGCGACGAUCAGUAGGGGUUCUGAGAGGAAGGUCCCCCACAUUGGAACUGAGACACGGUCCAAACUCCUACGGGAGGCAGCAGUGAGGAAUAUUGGUCAAUGGGCGAGAGCCUGAACCAGCCAAGUAGCGUGCAAGGAUGACGGCCCUAUGGGUUGUAAACUGCUUUUGUGCGGGAAUAAAGUCAGGGACGUGUCCCUGUUUGUAUGUACCGCAAGAAUAAGGACCGGCUAAUUCCGUGCCAGCAGCUGC